UACCAGCACCCCGAGUGGUCGGGACGAUUAUUGGGCCUAAAGCAUCCGUAGCCGGUCAUGCAAGUCCUCCGUUAAAUCCACCUGCUUAACAGAUGGGCUGCGGAGGAUACUACAAGGCUAGGAGGCGGAAGAGGCAAGCGGUACUCAGUGGGUAGGGGUAAAAUGCGCAGAUAUCGGGAGGAACACCAAUGGCGAAGGCAGCUCGCUGGGACGUGACUGACGCUGAGACGCGAAAGCGUGGGGAGCAAACAGG
rnacentral:rRNA from 1 species